rnacentral:rRNA from 1 species
AUUGAACGCUGGCGGCAUGCCUUACACAUGCAAGUCGAACGGCAGCACGGGAGCAAUCCUGGUGGCGAGUGGCGAACGGGUGAGUAAUACAUCGGAACGUGCCCUGUCGUGGGGGAUAACUAGUCGAAAGAUUAGCUAAUACCGCAUACGACCUGAGGGUGAAAGCGGGGGACCACAAGGCCUCGCGCGAUAGGAGCGGCCGAUGUCUGAUUAGCUAGUUGGUGGGGUAAAGGCCCACCAAGGCGACGAUCAGUAGCUGGUCUGAGAGGACGAUCAGCCACACUGGGACUGAGACACGGCCCAGACUCCUACGGGAGGCAGCAGUGGGGAAUUUUGGACAAUGGGGGCAACCCUGAUCCAGCAAUGCCGCGUGUGUGAAGAAGGCCUUCGGGUUGUAAAGCACUUUUGUCCGGAAAGAAAUCCCUUGCCCUAAUACGGCGGGGGGAUGACGGUACCGGAAGAAUAAGCACCGGCUAA